UUAAGUUCAGCGGGUAUCCCUACCUGAUCCGAGGUCAAGAGCAAAAAUUGUAGGCUUAAUGGACGCAAGCGUUCAAGCUGAGGGGCGCAAAAUGUGCUGCGCUCCAAGGCCAGUACGCCGGCUGCCAAUUGCUUUGAGGCGAGUCCGCGCAUAACGCGGGGACAAACACCCAACACCAAGCAGAGCUUGAAGGUACAAAU
rnacentral:misc_RNA from 1 species